AGAUUGAACGCUGGCGGCAUGCCUUACACAUGCAAGUCGAGCGGCAGCACGGGGGCAACCCUGGUGGCGAGUGGCGAACGGGUGAGUAACAUAUCGGAACGUGCCCUGGAGUGGGGGAUAACUAGUCGAAAGACUAGCUAAUACCGCAUACGAUCUACGGAUGAAAGUGGGGGAUCGCAAGACCUCAUGCUCGUGGAGCGGCCGAUAUCUGAUUAGCUAGUUGGUGGGGUAAAGGCUUA
rnacentral:rRNA from 1 species